GCCAGGCUAACUCUGUGCCAGCAGCCGCGGUAAUACAGAGGGUGCAAGCGUUAAUCGGAUUUACUGGGCGUAAAGCGCGCGUAGGCGGCUAAUUAAGUCAAAUGUGAAAUCCCCGAGCUUAACUUGGGAAUUGCAUUCGAUACUGGUUAGCUAGAGUGUGGGAGAGGAUGGUAGAAUUCCAGGUGUCAGCGGUGAAAUGCGUAGAGAUCUGGAGGAAUACCGAUGGCGAAGGCAGCCAUCUGGCCUAACACUGACGCUGAGGUGCGAAAGCUGGGGAGCAAACAGGAUUAGAUACCCUGGGUAGUCCAUGCCGUAAACUGAUGUCUACUAAGCCGU
rnacentral:rRNA from 1 species